rnacentral:rRNA from 1 species
CAGUCGCCACGGUAAUACGAAGGGUGCAAGCGUUAAUCGGAAUUACUGGGCGUAAAGCGUGCGUAGGCGGUUUGUUAAGUCUGUUGUGAAAUCCCCGGGCUCAACCUGGGAAUGGCAAUGGAUACUGGCAAGCUAGAGCGUGUCAGAGGAUGGUGGAAUUCCCGGUGUAGCGGUGAAAUGCGUAGAGAUCGGGAGGAACAUCAGUGGCGAAGGCGGCCAUCUGGGACAACACUGACGCUGAGGCACGAAAGCGUGGGGAGCAAACAGGAUUAGAUACCCCAGUAGUCCCUGUCUCUUAUAA